rnacentral:rRNA from 1 species
CCGGUAGUUGAAAUGGCUUUCCCUCCAGAGUGGAUCCUGAGUACGGCGGAACACGUGAAAUUCCGUCGGAAUCCGGGAGGACCAUCUCCCAAGGCUAAAUACUCCCUAGUGACCGAUAGUGAACCAGUACCGUGAGGGAAAGGUGAAAAGCACCCCGGAAGGGGAGUGAAACAGUUCCUGAAACCGUGUGCCUACAAGUAGUUAGAGCCCGUUAAUGGGUGAUAGCGUGCCUUUUGUAGAAUGAACCGGCGAGUUACGAUUUGUUGCAAGGUUAAGCGGAAAAAGCGGAGCCGUAGCGAAAGCGAGUCUGAAUAGGGCGCAUAAGUAACAGGUCGUAGACCCGAAACCAGGUGAUCUACCCAUGUCCAGGAUGAAGGUAAGGUAAUACUUACUGGAGGUCCGAACCCACGCACGUUGAAAAGUGCGGGGAUGAGGUGUGGGUAGCGGAGAAAUUCCAAUCGAACUUGGAGAUAGCUGGUUCUCUCCGAAAUAGCUUUAGGGCUAGCCUCGAGGUAAAGAGUCAUGGAGGUAGAGCACUGUUUGGACUAGGGGCCCUUCUCGGGUUACCGAAUUCAGAUAAACUCCGAAUGCCAUGUACUUAUACUCGGGAGUCAGACUGCGAGUGAUAAGAUCCGUAGUCGAAAGGGAAACAGCCCAGACCACCAGUUAAGGUCCCCAAAUAUAUGUUAAGUGGAAAAGGAUGUGGGGUUGCUUAGACAACCAGGAUGUUGGCUUAGAAGCAGCCACCAUUGAAAGAGUGCGUAAUAGCUCACUGGUCGAGUGACCCCGCGCCGAAAAUGUACCGGGGCUAAACAUAUUACCGAAACUGUGGAUGAACCUCUUUAGAGGUUCGUGGUAGGAGAGCGUUCUAAGGGCGGUGAAGUCAGACCGGAAGGACUGGUGGAGCGCUUAGAAGUGAGAAUGCCGGUAUGAGUAGCGAAAGAAGGGUGAGAAUCCCUUCCACCGAAUAUCUAAGGUUUCCUGAGGAAGGCUCGUCCGCUCAGGGUUAGUCGGGACCUAAGCCGAGGCCGAUAGGCGUAGGCGAUGGACAACAGGUAGAGAUUCCUGUACCAGUGCUAAUUGUUUAACCGAUGGGGUGACACAGAAGGAUAGGGAAUCGCACGAAUGGAAAUGUGCGUCCAAGCAGUGAGUGUGAG